GGCUUUUUUUGCUUUGUUGUUUUUCAUUUAGUUCAAAAAUGGAGAAAAUCAGGAAAGCAUCUCAUGCUGGUUCUUGGUACACUGAUAAUCCCCUAGAACUAGAAGAACAGCUUGAUGGCUGGCUGAGAGCUGCUGGCUUAGUCAAGUCUUCUGAUGUACGAGGUGUAAUUGCACCUCAUGCAGGCUAUUCAUAUUCUGGUCGUGCAGCAGCUUAUGCAUUUGGGAACAUAGACCCGACCAAUAUUUCUCGGAUAUUUCUACUCGGUCCAUCUCACCACUAUUAUACUCCAAAAUGUGCACUUUCAAGAGCCACAGUUUACAAGACUCCUAUAGGAGAUUUACCCAUUGAUGAAGAAGUAAAUGACGAGCUAAAAGCUACGGGGCACUUUGAAUACAUGGAUCUUAGAGUUGAUGAAGCUGAACAUAGCAUG
rnacentral:misc_RNA from 1 species